CUUAGCAACAUCCAUUUAACCCCAGACGUCCCCGACAAGAUAUCUUGGAAGUUCAAUGCUAAUGGAGUGUUCUCCACGUCCUCGGCCUACAAAGCGCAAUUCGAGGGGCACACCAUUUCGCCUAUGUAUGCUGCUGUUUGGAGAGCCUGGGCACCCCCAAAAUGCAAACUCUUUGCAUGGCUUGUGAUUCAGAACAGAGUUUGGACCGCGAGGAGAAGCUUAGCAACAUCCAUUUAA
rnacentral:rRNA from 1 species